rnacentral:rRNA from 1 species
UACGUAGGUGGCAAGCGUUGUCCGGAAUUAUUGGGCGUAAAGCGCGCGCAGGCGGUCCUUUAAGUCUGAUGUGAAAGCCCACGGCUCAACCGUGGAGGGUCAUUGGAAACUGGGGGACUUGAGUGCAGAAGAGGAGAGUGGAAUUCCACGUGUAGCGGUGAAAUGCGUAGAGAUGUGGAGGAACACCAGUGGCGAAGGCGACUCUCUGGUCUGUAACUGACGCUGAGGCUCGAAAGCGUGGGGAGCAAACAGG